rnacentral:rRNA from 1 species
UACGGAGGGUCCAAGCGUUAUCCGGAAUCAUUGGGUUUAAAGGGUCCGUAGGCGGUUUUGUAAGUCAGUGGUGAAAGCCCAUCGCUCAACGGUGGAACGGCCAUUGAUACUGCAAGACUUGAAUUAUUGGGAAGUAACUAGAAUAUGUAGUGUAGCGGUGAAAUGCUUAGAGAUUACAUGGAAUACCAAUUGCGAAGGCAGGUUACUACCAAUAUAUUGACGCUG